GGGAAGUGCGCGGCUUACCAUGCAAGUCGAGCGCCCUUUUCGGAGGGAGCGGCAGACGGGUGAGUAACGCGUGGGAAUCUACCUAUCUCUAGGGAAUAACUCAGGGAAACUUGUGCUAAUACCCUAUACGUCCUUCGGGAGAAAGAUUUAUCGGAGAUGGAUGAGCCCGCGUUGGAUUAGCUAGUUGGUGGGGUAAAGGCCUACCAAGGCGACGAUCCAUAGCUGGUCUGAGAGGAUGAUCAGCCACACUGGGACUGAGACACGGCCCAGACUCCUACGGGAGGCAGCAGUGGGGAAUAUUGGACAAUGGGCGCAAGCCUGAUCCAGCCAUGCCGCGUGAGUGAUGAAGGCCCUAGGGUUGUAAAGCUCUUUCACCGGUGAAGAUAAUGACGGUAACCGGAGAAGAAGCCCCGGCUAACUUCGUGCCAGCAGCCGCGGUAAUACGAAGGGGGCUAGCGUUGUUCGGAUUUACUGGGCGUAAAGCGCACGUAGGCGGAUUGGUCAGUUAGGGGUGAAAUCCCAGGGCUCAACCCUGGAACUGCCUUUAAUACUGCCAGUCUUGAGUAUGGAAGAGGUGAGUGGAAUUCCGAGUGUAGAGGUGAAAUUCGUAGAUAUUCGGAGGAACACCAGUGGCGAAGGCGGCUCACUGGUCCAUUACUGACGCUGAGGUGCG
rnacentral:rRNA from 1 species